rnacentral:rRNA from 1 species
GUGUCAGCAGCCGCGGUAAUACAGAGGGUGCAAGCGUUAAUCGGAAUUACUGGGCGUAAAGCGCACGUAGGUGGAUAUUUAAGUCGGAAGUGAAAGCCCUGGGCUUAACCUGGGAAUUGCCUCCGAUACUGGCUAUCUAGAGUAUGGUAGAGGAUAGUGGAAUUUCCGGUGUAGCGGUGAAAUGCGUAGAUAUCGGAAGGAACACCAGUGGCGAAAGCGGCUAUCUGGACCAAUACUGACACUUAGGUGCGAAAGCGUGGGGAGCAAACAGGAUUAGAUACCCUGGUAGUCC